rnacentral:rRNA from 1 species
UACGUAGGAGGCAAGCGUUGUCCGGAAUUACUGGGUGUAAAGCGCGUGUAGGCGGCAGGCCAAGUCUGUGGUGAAAUCGCUCGGCUCAACUGGGCGGGGUCCAUGGAAACUGGUCAGCUGGAGGACGGUAGAGGUGAGUGGAAUUCCCGGUGUAGUGGUGAAAUGCGUAGAUAUCGAGAGGAACACCGGUGGCGAAGGCGGCCAACUGGACGAAUACUGACGCUGAGACUCGAAAGCGUGGGGGAGCAAACAGG